GAUGAACGCUGGCGGCGUGCCUAAUACAUGCAAGUCGAGCGAACAGACGAGGAGCUUGCUCCUUCGACGUUAGCGGCGGACGGGUGAGUAACACGUAGGUAACCUACCUAUAAGACUGGGAUAACUUCGGGAAACCGGAGCUAAUACCGGAUAAUAUUUCGAACCGCAUGGUUCGAUAGUGAAAGAUGGCUUUGCUAUCACUUAUAGAUGGACCUGCGCCGCAUUAGCUAGUUGGUAAGGUAACGGCUUACCAAGGCAACGAUACGUAGCCGACCUGAGAGGGUGAUCGGCCACACUGGUACUGAGACACGGUCCAGACUCCUACGGGAGGCAGCAGUAGGGAAUCUUCCGCAAUGGGCGAAAGCCUGACGGAGCAACGCCGCGUGAGUGAUGAAGGUCUUCGGAUCGUAAAACUCUGUUAUUAGGGAAGAACAAACGUGUAAGUAACUGUGCACGUCUUGACGGUACCUAAUCAGAAAGCCACGGCUAACUACGUG
rnacentral:rRNA from 1 species